CUAACAGUUACUUCCUAACUGGAGUUAACUCAGGCCAGAUCAGGAAGGGGUAGCUGGCAUAGUAGACUAUUUCCAAACGAUGCGAGUCGAAUAACUCCGUAAUCAUCGCUACGGAGGACCCAUCCACUUCUCGCUGACCUCCCCUAUCGGCUGUACAUUCCUCAUUACAUACCAGACGUGUACUCUGAUGUAUGGCCAAAAAUCCAGGUGAAGCAGAGUGGAGGGCUGGAAGAGACAAGGGACUGCACCCUGCGAGACUGACGCCAGUGAACUGUUGGGACUUGAUAGCCACAAUCAAUAGUUUCUAAAACAAUAAGGUCGGCACGGUAAAGAUUCAGAUUUCUUGCCUCCAAAUGGAAUGGAAAGAAGACUGGGGUGCUUAGCCAUCGAGUAGGUAUUCUGGCAUUAAGAAUGGGAUCCUGAUCAAAGGAAAUCUGAAGAAAAUGGAAAGUAUAAAUUCUUUAAUAAAAAUGUAACCAACUAUUGAA